rnacentral:tRNA from 1 species
GGUGUUGUAGCUCAGUGGUGGAGUGCUUGUCUGACACAUGUGAGGCACUGGGUUCAAUCCUCAGCACUA